GACGAACGCUGGCGGCGUGCCUAAUACAUGCAAGUCGAGCGAAGUUUUUUGGUGCUUGCACUAGAAAAACUUAGCGGCGAACGGGUGAGUAACACGUAAAGAACCUGCCUCAUAGACUGGGACAACUAUUGGAAACGAUAGCUAAUACCGGAUAACAGCAUUAACUGCAUGGUUGAUGUUUGAAAGUUGGUUAUGCUAACACUAUGAGAUGGCUUUGCGGUGCAUUAGCUAGUUGGUGGGGUAAAGGCCCACCAAGGCGACGAUGCAUAGCCGACCUGAGAGGGUGAUCGGCCACACUGGGACUGAGACACGGCCCAGACUCCUACGGGAGGCAGCAGUAGGGAAUCUUCCGCAAUGGGCGAAAGCCUGACGGAGCAACGCCGCGUGAGUGAAGAAGGAUUUCGGUUCGUAAAGCUCUGUUGUUAGGGAAGAAUGGAUAUGUAGUAACUAUACAUUACGAGACGGACCUACCAGAAGCCCC
rnacentral:rRNA from 1 species